AACGAACGCUGGCGGCAGGCUUAACACAUGCAAGUCGAACGCCCCGCAAGGGGAGUGGCAGACGGGUGAGUAACGCGUGGGAAUCUACCCAGAUCUUCGGAACAACUGAGGGAACCUUCAGCUAAUACCGGAUACGCCCUACCGGGGAAAGAUUUAUCGGUUCUGGAUGAGCCCGCGUUGGAUUAGCUAGUUGGUGAGGUAACGGCUCACCAAGGCGACGAUCCAUAGCUGGUCUGAGAGGAUGAUCAGCCACACUGGGACUGAGACACGGCCCAGACUCCUACGGGAGGCAGCAGUGGGGAAUAUUGGACAAUGGGCGAAAGCCUGAUCCAGCCAUGCCGCGUGAGUGAUGAAGGCCUUAGGGUUGUAAAGCUCUUUCAGUAGGGAAGAUAAUGACGGUACCUACAGAAGAAGCCCCGGCUAACUUCGUGCCAGCCGCCGCCGUAAGAC
rnacentral:rRNA from 1 species